rnacentral:rRNA from 1 species
UACGUAGGGUGCGAGCGUUGUCCGGAAUUACUGGGCGUAAAGCGCGCGUAGGUGGCUUGAUAAGUCGGAUGUGAAAUCCCCGGGCUCAACCUGGGAACUGCAUCCAAAACUGUCUGGCUAGAGUGCGGUAGAGGGUAGUGGAAUUUCCAGUGUAGCGGUGAAAUGCGUAGAUAUUGGAAGGAACACCAGUGGCGAAGGCGACUACCUGGACUGACACUGACACUGAGGUGCGAAAGCAUGGGUAGCGAACAGGAUUAGAUACCCUGGUAGUCCACGCCCUAAACGAUGUCUACUAGUUGUCGGGACUUAAUUGUCUUGGUAACGCAGCUAACGCGUGAAGUAGACCGCCUGGGGAGUACGGCCGCAAGGUUAAAACUC